CGUGUAGGCGGUCCGGUAAGUCGGCUGUGAAAGUCCAGGGCUCAACCCUGGGAUGCCGGUCGAUACUGCCGGACUAGAGUUCGGAAGAGGCGAGUGGAAUUCCCGGUGUAGCGGUGAAAUGCGCAGAUAUCGGGAGGAACACCAAUGGCGAAGGCAGCUCGCUGGGACGUUACUGACGCUGAGACGCGAAAGCGUGGGGAGCAAACA
rnacentral:rRNA from 1 species